rnacentral:misc_RNA from 1 species
UCCGAGUUGACCCCGGCAGUCUCCUAUGAGUCCCCACCAUCACGUGCUGGCAACAAGAGGCGUGGGUUGCGCUCGUUACGGGACUUAACCCAACAUCUCACGACACGAGCUGACGACAGCCAUGCAGCACCUGUCUCUUUGUCCCCGAAGGGAAGGCCAACUUUCGCUGGCGUUCAAAGGAUGUCAAGACCAGGAUAAGGUUCUUCGCGUUGCGUCGAAUUGAUCCACAUGCUCCACUGCUUGUGCGGGUCCCCGUCAAUUUCUUUGAGUUUUAAUCUUGCGACCGUACUCCCCAGGCGGGAUGCUUAACGCGUUAGCUUCGUUACUGAAAGGGUUAACACUUCCAACAACAAGCAUCCAUCGUUUACGGCGUGGACUAC